AUAUAGUUUGAUUUUAACUACCGAUUUGAUUAAAACAAAAUAUAAUACAUGCAACCUCCCAGAAGCCCGUGCAAUCAAAAUAUCAGCCUUAAAGCCUAAUAACGUGAAUAAGGAUAACCCAAAACUCACCCGCACGCCUGCAGUAAAGAAUAUUGAGACAAAUACAACAUAUGCUCCAGAUAUUGUCUAUUGUGCUGACUAAAUUCGUGCCAGCCGUCGCGGUUAAACGAUAAACACAAACCAAAUCUUGCGGGCAACGUACUGAUAAAACCCAUGAACUAAUAGUGGUAUAAUAUACACAGUUCAGCUCAUUUAUUUUAUAUCAACAGAUUAAACGAAAGAGUAACCAAAAACAAGGAUUAGAUACCCUUUUAUUUUACUCAAUAAACUAUGUCCCGGGCAUUACGAACACACGUUUAAAACCCAAAAAAUUUGGCGGCAUUUCACGUAAUUAGGGGAAUCUGUCAUAUAACUCGAUAACCCACGUUAAACCCUAUUACCGCUUGUAACUCAGCUUGUGUACUGCCGUCGAAAGCUAACACACCUAAGUAGUUAGCCCCUCAGUACCCCACUAUUACGUCAGGUCAAAAUGCAGCUUAUGCGGUAAACUCGAUGGAUUACAAUAAAAAUAAAACAGGACAGCAAAAUGAAACCCUGCUUCAAUAUGGACUUAAUUGUAAGCAUGCUAUAAUAUAGCACACUGAACUACAAUCUGAAAUGUGCACACAUCGCCCGUCACUCUCACCGAAAGGCGAGAUAAGUCGUAACAUAGUAGGCGUAACUGAAGUUGUGCCUU
rnacentral:rRNA from 1 species